rnacentral:rRNA from 1 species
UCUGGCGGCAAUAGCGCGGUGGUCCCACCUGACCCCAUGCCGAACUCAGAAGUGAAACGCCGUAGCGCCGAUGGUAGUGUGGGGUCUCCCCAUGCGAGAGUAGGGAACUGCCAGAC